rnacentral:lncRNA from 15 species
AACACUGCCUGCUUCGUUGGUGACAGAAGAACACGAGUCUAUACAAGAACUGAAGGAGAAAACAUCAGAGCUUUGUGUCACUUUGAUUUCUCUUUGUCUGGAAGACAUAAGAUCUUCUGUAAGGGAGAAUGUGAAGAAAAAGACAUUCUCAUUGAAACAUAUGAGGACAGAGCUCAGAGUGGCAGAUACAGCAUCCAAUAUAAACACUUAGAUCCUCAACCAUUUAUUAUAUCUAUGGAUGUGAGCAUCACAAAGCUGACAAAGUCUGACUCAGGGUGGUACAGAUGUAAGGUGGACAGAUCUACAGAUUCUUACGAUGACUUUGAGCUCAGAGUUGAAGAUGGUGAGUUUCUACUGAGAGUCCUGAAAUGAAGUGUUCACUGACAGCUGCUGAUGUUUCUAAUAACCCAACAUGUUUAGUCUAACAAUUAUAUUUGGAGCUGCAUAUUUCCAUCAUUGUGAACACUGAUAAAUGCUCCUUUAAAAGCAACAGUUCAUCUGUAAAAUAUCUGAAAUGUGUUUCACAGCUCCAACCGCUUCAAAACCAAACUGGAAAACCACCACCAAAGCACCUUUUAAACCAUCAGUCCCAUCAGCCUCCACACCGACAACAACACAGAGUUUAAGCUCCAGUUCAGGAAGCUCCACACCUUCAUCGUCCUCCCCUGAAACCACCAACCAGCCUGAACAGCAACAGAGAGCUGCAGGUCCAGGUGUGCAACUGUAUGUACGUCUGACUGUGGUCAUCACGAUCAUGGUAUUAUCAGCAGCUGCACUGAUAUUCUGCAGGAAGAGGGCCAGUGAACCAAAAGAAUCUCCUGUGGAGUAUGUUAAUGUCACAGAGGCCAGGAUCAGAGAGGAGGACAGACAGAGCAGAUCUCCUCCUGAAGAAAUGUCUACAGUUUACAUUCACUGCAGCCAGUUCUCAGAGUAAGGUGAGUUCAAACUGUGGUAGGGGUUUAAAGGUACAGGACAAACCAAACAGGUUGUUUCAGUUGGUUACAAUCUGCAAUCUCACCACUAGAUGACACUAAAUCCUACACACUGCUCAUUUAACUUUGGGUUUAGACAACAGUGUCUUUAGACUUCACCCACUAUAAUAAGUUGAGUAGAUAACAACGUACAGCAGAGGGAUGAUUUACAGUGGCAAUAUAGAGAGACUGUGGACAUGUUUUAUAAAUGUGGUCUCACAAGUACUUUACGUCAGUGUAUGUUUCUGAGUAACGUGCAGUCUUUUUAAGAAACAGGAACCCGGCCAGUUUGUGAUCAUAUCUCCAGCUACAAGAUUCUGUGGGUUUGAGGAGGAAGUCCUCGGACUGAAUGUUUCAUUGCAAAGAGAGAGGGAAAGGUUGUGUACUGAGAUACAGGGUUCAAUAUCAAAUAAAGAAUGUGCAGAUAAAAGCCUGUUUACAGUUCACAUGAAGCAGCACACAUGCUGAAAUGAUGCUUAUGUGACCAAACAGGUGAGUAAACUCAACAAC